rnacentral:rRNA from 1 species
UUUUAGGCCGGGUUUCGACCACGUUUCGUGCUUAGGAUGCUGGCAUAAUGGCUUUAAGCGACCCGUCUUGAAACACGGACCAAGGAGUCUAACAUACUUGCGAGUGUUUGGGUGGUAAACCCGAGCGCGUAAUGAAAGUGAAAGUUGAGAUCCCUGUCGUGGGGAGCAUCGAUGCCCGGACCAGAACUUUUGGGACGGAUCCGCGGUGGAGCAUGUAUGUUGGGACCCGAAAGAUGGUGAACUAUGCCUGAAUAGGGUGAAGCCAGAGGAAACUCUGGUGGAGGCUCGUAGCGAUUCUGACGUGCAAAUCGAUCGUCAAAUUUGGGUAUAGGGGCGAAAGACUAAUCGAACA